rnacentral:lncRNA from 1 species
CAAACCUCUCAAGUUCCCAGAGGGUUUCAGAAUCAACACUGCCAAUAUCCAACUCAAUUUCAUCGUCGUUUUGGAACAGUCCCUGGUUUCUUUUCUUGAUAAUCUUGACAACAUUAUUCAAUUUAUCUGAUGGUAAAUCCUGAAGGUCAAUGCUCAGUUUCUGUUUUUCUUCAUAAGUCAUAUCUCUGAUUUCGUGAUUCUUUGCUUUUGGUUUCUUAUCAGGAGGAGCAACAUCUGUGGGGGGCUGUUUGGGAUUGGAGGUAAGGAAAUGCUUUGUUGUAGAAUCCGAUCUACUGAAAGUUCUCGAUUCCACUGGACGAGUGGCAAGAGCUGGAGAUUUCCUAGAGGUGGGUGUAGGUAAAACUGAGCC